AGCUUGCUCCUUUGAAGUUAGCGGCGGACGGGUGAGUAACACGUGGGUAACCUACCUAUAAGACUGGGAUAACUUCGGGAAACCGGAGCUAAUACCGGAUAACAUUUAGAACCGCAUGGUUCUAAAGUGAAAGAUGGUUUUGCUAUCACUUAUAGAUGGACCCGCGCCGUAUUAGCUAGUUGGUAAGGUAACGGCUUACCAAGGCGACGAUACGUAGCCGACCUGAGAGGGUGAUCGGCCACACUGGAACUGAGACACGGUCCAGACUCCUACGGGAGGCAGCAGUAGGGAAUCUUCCGCAAUGGGCGAAAGCCUGACGGAGCAACGCCGCGUGAGUGAUGAAGGGUUUCGGCUCGUAAAACUCUGUUAUUAGGGAAGAACAAAUGUGUAAGUAACUGUGCACAUCUUGACGGUACCUAAUCAGAAAGCCACGGCUAACUACGUGCCAGCAGCCGCGGUAAUACGUAGGUGGCAAGCGUUAUCCGGAAUUAUUGGGCGUAAAGCGCGCGUAGGCGGUUUCUUAAGUCUGAUGUGAAAGCCCACGGCUCAACCGUGGAGGGUCAUUGGAAACUGGGAAACUUGAGUGCAGAAGAGGAAAGUGGAAUUCCAUGUGUAGCGGUGAAAUGCGCAGAGAUAUGGAGGAACACCAGUGGCGAAGGCGACUUUCUGGUCUGUAACUGACGCUGAUGUGCGAAAGCGUGGGGAUCAAACAGGAUUAGAUACCCUGGUAGUCCACGCCGUAAACGAUGAGUGCUAAGUGUUAGGGGGUUUCCGCCCCUUAGUGCUGCAGCUAACGCAUUAAGCACUCCGCCUGGGGAGUACGACCGCAAGGUUGAAACUCAAAGGAAUUGACGGGGACCCGCACAAGC
rnacentral:rRNA from 1 species